rnacentral:rRNA from 1 species
GACAGAGGGUGCAACCGUUGUUCGGAAUUACUGGGCGUAAAGCGCAUGUAGGCGGCCUAGCAGGUCGGAUGUGAAAUCCCUCGGCUCAACCAAGGAAGUGCAUUCGAAACCGCAAGGCUCGAGUCCCGGAGAGGAUGGUGGAAUUCUCGGUGUAGAGGUGAAAUUCGUAGAUAUCGAGAGGAACACCGGCGGCGAAGGCGGCGAUCUGGACGGUGACUGACGCUGAGACGCGAAAGCGUGGGGAGCAAACAGG